rnacentral:rRNA from 1 species
UGAACGCUAGCGACAGGCCUAACACAUGCAAGUCGAGGGGCAGCACAAGGAGCAAUCUGAGGUGGCGACCGGCGCACGGGUGAGUAACACGUAUGCAACCUGCCUGUAAGCGGGGAAUAACCCGUUGAAAGACGGACUAAUACCGCAUAAUACUAAAUUACUGCAUGGUAAUUUAUUUAAACAUUUAUGGCUUACAGAUGGGCAUGCGCAUGAUUAGCUAGUUGGAGAGGUAACGGCUCCCCAAGGCAACGAUCAUUAGGGGUUCUGAGAGGAAGGCCCCCACACUGGUACUGAGACACGGACCAGACUCCUACGGGAGGCAGCAGUGAGGAAUAUUGGUCAAUGGACGAGAGUCUGAACCAGCCAAGUCGCGUGCAGGAAGAAUGUUCCCUAUGGAUUGUAAACUGCUUUUGCAGGGGAAUAAAGUGCAUCACGUGUGAUGUUUUGUAUGUACUCUGCGAAUAAGGAUCGGCUAACUCCGUGCCAGCCGCUGC